UAUCAGCUGCUGAUUAUUACGUUAUUGAUAAGCGUGUUUAUUGUAUGUUUAUAGGAUUUAAUGUGUCCCAGUGCCGCAAACGGAUCAUACCGACUGGUUUCUUGAACCGAUUCAAAAAGGGAUUCGUUUGCUAAUCGUGUAGCAGAUACAGUCUCUCUAGACUGUCGUGUUUGGUAUCUGGUGCUGGAUGAAGGCUGCUGUCCCGACGAGGAUGACGAGACCUGC